UGAGAAUUUAUUCUUUUUGUUACUGUAAGGUCUUGGAGAUGGGUUACGGAAAUGAACUCAAGACCCAACCUAGUACUGCAGUUACUUAAUACUGUCAAUAGGCGGCGCUGCUUGCUUAAAGAAUGAACCUUCUGACUGCUUUGGUCACUGUUUGCAGUUUUUGACUCCCUCCAGUCUGUAUUUUUAUCAGCAGAAUGUCACAAACCAGAAAUGAACUCAAGACCCAACCUAGUACUGCAGUUACUUAAUACUGUCAAUAGGCGACGCCGCUUGCUUAAAGAAUGAACCUUCUGACUGCUAUGGUCACUGUCUGCAGUUUUUGACUCCCUCCAGUCUGUAUUUUAUCAGCAGAAUGUCACAAACCAGGGAGGGGUAGCACCUUCAACAGUUCUGCGCAUCUAAUGAAGUGGAAAGACUGUGGUUCUGGGAAAUUCACCUGACAUCUUACGUGGAGAUCUAAGUUCUCUUGACCCAGUGUUUAAGGAUGUGACAAGUCCCUGGCAUUGUGUACUGCAUGGCUACAUGAUACAAGGUGCCGUUAGGUUCGUCUGAGAGAAGAUGGCUUAAUGAAAUGUUACACACUAAUAAAGAUUUAUUAACAAACGA